rnacentral:snRNA from 1 species
AGCUUUGCGCAGUGGCAGUAUCAUAGCCAAUGAGGUUUAUCCGAGGUGCGAUUAUUGCUAAUUGAAAACUUUUCCCAAUACCCCACCAUGACGACUUGAAAUAUAGUCCGCAUUGGCAAUUUUUGACAGUCUCUACAGAGA